CGUAAACAGAGGGAAGCGAAGUGGAGACACGGAGCGAACCCCAAAAAUAAACGUCCCAGUUCGGAUUGUAGUCUGCAACCCGACUACAUGAAGCUGGAAUCGCUAGUAAUCGCGGAUCAGAAUGCCGCGGUGAAUACGUUCCCGGGUCUUGUACACACCGCCCGUCACACCAUGGGAGUCGAUAACGCCCGAAGUCAGUGACCCAACCUGUAAGGAGGGAGCUGCCGAAGGCGGGAUUGAUAACUGGGGUGAAGUCGUAACAAGGUACC
rnacentral:rRNA from 1 species